rfam:Ovis aries breed Texel chromosome 4, whole genome shotgun sequence.
UGGCUCAGAGGUUAAAGCGUCUGCCUCCAAUGCGGGAGACCCAGGUUUGAUCCCUGG